CGGGCAGAUAACGUCGGUGGUCCAGUCGUGAAGACCCGAUGGGGCUCCGCAUCGGCAGUAAAACGGGUCAGGAUAGGUGAAUUGUAGCCCAGGAGACACUUCAGCUGGCUAGCUCAGGAAUAGCCCAGGAGUGGCUGACGGAACUCUUCAGCUGGCUAGCUGGCUAGCUCCGUAAUAAUGUGUGUUAAUUCCGUGACCGACGUUGCCAAUAGUCACUCAGGUAGCAGAUAGUUAGCUGCAAGAUCCAGGUGUAAAUGUCCAGAGCCUGCGGUAGAAAUCGGGGAAAGGAGAGAGAAUAGGUCCGGUAUGCUCUGGUCUGAGUCGCGCUGUACAAAAACUGGCGAUAGCUUUUCGAGCUAAUGGAUAGCUGAGGACAGCUAACCGUGGCUAGCUGAACUUCAACGUUAGCCAGUGAAAAUGGCUAACCUCUUGCUAGCUUCUGUUGUGGAAUUCAGAUGAGGUAAAUAAUACUUUCUUUUUUAAAUUGGUGAGGCGGGUUGCAGGAGAGUGCUUUGAGGUUGAGUUUUUAGAAUAAAAAAAAUAUAUAUAAAAAUGUAAGUGAAAAAAAAUAAAUAAAAAAAUAUGUAAAUAUAUAUAUACACGGGACACGACAAGAGGAGGGUAGAGGACGUCUGAACUGCUACGCCAUCUUGGGAAAAAAAUAUAUAUAUAGUGCACUACGGUUUGACCAGGGGCCUUAUGAGUUCUGGUCUAAAGUAGUGCACUGUAAAUGGAAUAGGACGCCACUUGGGAUGUCACCUUGAAAGUUGGGUGGCUGAGUCACGAACAAGGGCCAGUUCGCCACAGUCCGCGAGACAUAUUACUUAUUUUCAUGUAAAUGCGUUUUAUAAUCUCUGGAUAGCGUUUCCUCGUGUCAGAAAAAGAAGAGAAACAUAUCAGGAUUACUUUGGUUAGGAAAGGGGGGGAGAAAAUGGCCUCUUUCUGUUGUGAAUUAAAUAGAUCGCCUCUCUGAUGACAACUCAGUCAUGUAUUAUAAAGACAAACACUGAAAGACUUUGACUGCAUCUCAAAUGGUACUCUAUUCCUUAUAUAGUACACUACUAUUGACCAGGCUGGCACCCUAUUCCCUAUAUAGUGCACUACGUUUGACCAGGGUGGCACCCUAUUCCCUAUAUAGUACACUACUGUUGACCAGGCUGGCACCCUAUUCCCUUAUAUCUUCUAGAACAGGGGGUGUGAAUAUCUUCUGGAACAGGGGGAGUGAAUAUCUUCUGGAACAGGGGGAGUGAAUAUCUUCUGGAACAGGGGGAGUGAAUAUCUUCUGGAACAGGGGGAGUGAAUAUCUUCUGGAACAGGGGGUGUGAAUAUCUUCUGGAACAGGGGGAGUGAAUAUCUUCUGGAACAGGGGGAGUGAAUAUCUUCUGGAAUAAGAGUGAAUAUCUUCUGGAACAGGGGGAGUGAAUAUCUUCUGGAAUAAGAGUGAAUAUCUUCUGGAACAGGGGGAGUGAAUAUCUUCUGGAAUAAGAGUGAAUAUCUUCUGGAAUAAGAGUGAAUAUCUUCUGGAACAGGGGGUGUGAAUAUCUUCUGGAAUAAGAGUGAAUAUCUUCUGGAACAGGGGGAGUGAAUAUCUUCUGGAAUAAGAGUGAAUAUCUUCUGGAAUAAGAGUGAAUAUCUUCUGGAACAGGGGGAGUGAAUAUCUUCUGGAACAGGGGGAGUGAAUAUCUUCUGGAACAGGGGGUGUGAAUAUCUUCUGGAAUAAGAGUGAAUAUCUUCUGGAACUGGGGGAGUGAAUAUCUUCUGGAACUGGGGGAGUGAAUAUCUUCUGGAACUGGGGGAGUGAAUAUCUUCUGGAACAGGGGGAGUGAAUAUCUUCUGGAACUGGGGGAGUGAAUAUCUUCUGGAACAGGGGGAGUGAAUAUCUUCUGGAAUAAGAGUGAAUAUCUUCUGGAACAGGGGGAGUGAAUAUCUUCUGGAACAGGGGGAGUGAAUAUCUUCUGGAACUGGGGGAGUGAAUAUCUUCUGGAACUGGG
rnacentral:lncRNA from 1 species